rnacentral:rRNA from 1 species
GAUCAUGGCUCAGGAUGAACGCUAGCGGCAGGCUUAACACAUGCAAGUCGAGGGGCAGCGCGGGGCGGCAACGUCCUGGCGGCGACCGGCGGAAGGGUGCGUAACGCGUGAGCGACAUGCCCGUUGCCCGGGGACAACCGGUGGAAACGCCGACUAAUCCCCGAUGGGACGGAGGCCCUCAUGGGUCUCUGUUGAAAGUUACGGCGGCGACGGUAUUGGCUCGCGUCCGAUUAGCUUGUGGCGGGGUAACGCCCACAGG